rnacentral:rRNA from 1 species
UACGGGGGGGGGCAAGCGUUGUUCGGAAUUACUGGGCGUAAAGGGCUCGUAGGCGGCCAACUAAGUCAGACGUGAAAUCCCUCGGCUUAACCGGGGAACUGCAUCUGAUACUGGAUGGCUUGAGUUCGGGAGAGGGAUGCGGAAUUCCAGGUGUAGCGGUGAAAUGCGUAGAUAUCUGGAGGAACACCGGUGGCGAAGGCGGCAUCCUGGACCGGCACUGACGCUGAGGAGCGAAAGCCAGGGGAGCAAAGCGGG